UACGGGGGGGGCAAGCGUUGUUCGGAAUUACUGGGCGUAAAGGGCUCGUAGGUGGCCAACUAAGUCAGACGUGAAAUCCCCAGGCUUAACCUGGGAACUGCGUCUGAUACUGGAUGGCUUGAGUUUGGGAGAGGGAUGCGGAAUUCCAGGUGUAGCGGUAAAAUGCGUAGAUAUCUGGAGGAACACCGGUGGCGAAGGCGGCAUCCUGGACCAACACUGACACUGAGGAGCGAAAGCCAGGGGAGCAAACGGG
rnacentral:rRNA from 1 species